rnacentral:rRNA from 1 species
AUCGAAAGAGAAGCUCCUGAUCGAAGCCCCAGUAAACGGCGGCCGUAACUAUAACGGUCCUAAGGUAGCGAAAUUCCUUGUCGGGUAAGUUCCGACCUGCACGAAUGGCAUAAUGAUGGCCAGGCUGUCUCCACCCGAGACUCAGUGAAAUUGAAAUCGCCGUGAAGAUGCGGUGUACCCGCGGCUAGACGGAAAGACCCCGUGAACCUUUACUAUAGCUUGACACUGAACAUUGAAUUUUGAUGUGUAGGAUAGGUGGGAGACUAAGAAGCAGGCACGCCAGUGCUUGUGGAGUCGUCCUUGAAAUACCACCCUUUAACGUUUGAUGUUCUAACGAAGAUUACGAAACGUGGUCUCGGACAGUGUCUGGUGGGUAGUUUGACUGGGGCGGUCUCCUCCCAAAGCGUAACGGAGGAGCACGAAGGUUUGCUAAUCACGGUCGGACAUCGUGAGGUUAGUGCAAUGGUAUAAGCAAGCUUAACUGCGAGACAGACAAGUCGAGCAGGUGCGAAAGCAGGUCAUAGUGAUCCGGUGGUUCUGAAUGGAAGGGCCAUCGCUCAACGGAUAAAAGGUACUCCGGGGAUAACAGGCUGAUACCGCCCAAGAGUUCAUAUCGACGGCGGUGUUUGGCACCUCGAUGUCGGCUCAUCACAUCCUGGGGCUGAAGUAGGUCCCAAGGGUAUGGCUGUUCGCCAUUUAAAGUGGUACGCGAGCUGGGUUUAGAACGUCGUGAGACAGUUCGGUCCCUAUCUGCCGUGGGCGUUGGAGAAUUGAGAGGGGCUGCUCCUAGUACGAGAGGACCGGAGUGGACGCAUCACUGGUGUACCAGUUGUCUCGCCAGAGGCA